AUGCUUGAUCGUGGUGAACGGCGGAGCAGCAAGUUUCACACAGUAACCGGAUCUAAUAUUGGUCUAGAUAUAAAAAUACAAACAGCACAUCAUUGGCCAGCGAUGGAAGAAAGUAAGACUGAUCGUGUAACCCCGCCCACAACUCCAAACAAAGCCACGCCCUCUUCGCCAGUGUCCGCUGAAGGACCGAUGGGUUUGGGCAGCCCUGAGUUAUUAAGAGAACUGAAACAACCGCACGUGCUCAAACACGUCCCCGCGAACACGGGACUGAAAACUAUGAUCUAUGGACGAGGACGACAGAAUCAGAAGGCAGAGAGUCAGUCUAAAACCCCGCACUGAAACUCCAGCAUUCUCAGUGACUGUUCAGCUGUGAUUAGUUGCUCUGUCACUGGCUGUUUGAGCUGUCAGUCACUGAUAAGCCCCGCCCCCUGCUGUGAUGUGGGCGGGUGGUUUGCUCUGGUUCUGAGGAUCAUUAGUGAAUCUGUCAUGUUUGGGUGCAAGUAUGAAACCAGUAUGUCAACCAGUAGCAUAAAUGAUGUUUAAACAAUGUAUGAAAUAAAAAUAAAAAUUGUACUGUCUGUGUGUGUGUGUGUGUGUGUCAGAAUUGAAGUGGCCAAAUGGAAUUUUAAAUGGAAUUAUGGGAAGAAGUUUUUAGUGAAUUGCAGUCCAGAGAGAUUAAACACAGUCACACAGGAGGAAUUUAAUCAGUCCAACAGACUGCUGCUGUGAACUGUAAAUGACAACCAAUAAACUGCAUCAUAAAUAUGUUUAAAUAGAUUACUUUAUAAACAUGACUCAGAUUAAUAUAUAUGUGUGUGUGUGUGUGUGUGUGUGUGUGUUUCCUUGUUCGUCCUGUUCUCUGGAGCUCAAGGAACCAGGUGAGAAUCAUCAGACUGAAGGUGACGCUUUAUUCCUUCACAUCUCUGACAUCUCUCACAGAAAAUCACUUACUUCCUCAUUGCAAAACAAGGUGGAUAUUAUGUGUCCUAAUGUAUAAUGUGUCCCAAUUUGACUUGUUUAUGAGUGUUUGAUUAGGGAUGGUUAAACAAAUGGUCAUGGUUAAAAAUCUAACUUUAGCAAGGGAUUGCUCUUCUAGUCUUUCUGUCUGGUGAGAAAAGAGUCUCUGUGUUCCUAAUUUGAUUAUUUAUGAGCAGUUUGUCAGGGAAGUCAAAUCUCAAUAGAUCUUUACACAUUUGACCAAUAAAUCUGACAUUCUGAUGAACAAAGCCAUAUGUUUAGGACAUCCCCAGUUUCUGUUGCUCAGGCGGUGUUAAAAUACUCAAGUGAAACAAUGUUACGGGUUACUCUUUCAGAGCUCAGAGACUCCCUGUUAAUGUAUCAACUUUGACUCAGAUGUUUCUCUUAGGAUAAAACACACAAUAGACACAUUUGUGACAUUAUUCGAGUUAUAAGAGUACAGAGCAAUAAGAAGGAUGUUUAGAGCAGCUCAGAUCAUUUGAUGAGAAAUGUCUGGGUUUAUAGAGUCCUGGACAAUCGGAGCAGAGUUUCUGGAACUGGCUUGUUUCUUUUAUUGGGGUGUUUAAUCACAGUGUUUCUCAACUGGUGGGUCACGACCCAAUGCAAACAAGAACACACAACUAGCUGUGUAUGGUGCAGAGCUAAGAUAGUAAAACAAAUAGACUUAUCAGGAAACACUUCCCGUAUGUUUCAUGGCCAGAGUCAAAGGUUGUGUUUCCAGUCAAACGCUAGUGGUUCGGCUGUAGAAACCAGAAAUUAGUUAAAUCUGGCGAAACCUUCCUUGAAAUAUAUGUGUAAUCUAUAGUCCUUGCUCCUUGAGAUCUCUAUUUAAAUAAGAUUCUGCAGACAAAUAUAAACACAAAAUGUUUUUAUUUCCUGUUUCCACUUUUUCAUUUAUAAUGAUAAUCAUUUGUUUUUUGAAUAUAAGUUUCACAAUUUUCAUGUCAGGCAAUAUAUAACAGUAUAUUCAGGAUAUUUAAUAAGAUACAUCUAGUUUCUGAGCAGUGUUUUUACAGAGAGUGAAGAAAGAAUAAGACAGCGUCUCACUAUGAAGGACAGAUGGAUGAGUGUGAGCUAUAGAAGUCAUCCGAAGAGAACUCAAAGUGAAGAGUGUGUGGCGUUCUUGGUUUGGAGAGGAACACAGACGGGGACGAAGAGCUCAACGGUGCCAUCCGUGAGUGUGUGUGUGUGAGUGUGUGUGUGUGUGUGUGUGUGUGAGUGUGUGUGUGUGUGUGUGUGUGUGUGUGUGUGUGUGUGUGGAAAGAUCUCAAAUGAGGGUAGCGCAGGUGUGUUUGUCGUUGUCACUGUUUGCGUAAGCAUGUGUGUCAUCGCUGAUAUUGUUGAAGCUGUAAAGGUGCUGUCAUGUUUGUGAAAUUUCGCAAGCAAAAAACCCCAAAGUCACUAUCAAAGCAAUCAGCUCUCUAUGGAAGCCAUUUCUUCCACAUU
ensembl:lncRNA